GGACGGGUGUCGGAUCAUUGGGCGUAAGCGCGUGUAGGCGGCUUGGCAGUCGGGUGUGAAGCCCGGGGCUCAACCCCGGAACUGCACUCGAAACUGCCUCGCUAGAGUCCCGGAGAGGAAGGCAGAAUUCCCGGUGUAGAGGUGAAAUUCGUAGAUAUCGGGAGGAAUACCAGUGGCGAAGGCGGCCUUCUGGACGGCGACUGACGCUGAGACGCGAAAGCGUGGGGAGCAAACAGGAUUAGAUACCCUGGUAGUCCACGCCGUAAACGUUGGGUGCUAGACGUCGGGGG
rnacentral:rRNA from 1 species